UCCUACGGGAGGGCAGCAGUGGGGAAUUUUGGACAAUGGGGGAAACCCUGAUCCAGCAAUGCCGCGUGUGCGAAGAAGGCCUUCGGGUUGUAAAGCACUUUUGUCAGGGAAGAAAUCCUUUGGGCUAAUACCCUGGGGGAUGACGGUACCUGAAGAAAUAAGCACCGGCUAACUACGUGCCAGCAGCCGCGGUA
rnacentral:rRNA from 1 species